ACCGAUUUAAAUAACCUUGGCCAAUUUUAAAGUAAUACUUUUGAUUGUUACUCUGAAAGCAGUUUGUUUUUUUUUUUCUUUCUUAUUGAACAGGUACCAUUAACACAGCUAGUAGGAGACAGAAAAUAAGGAAAAUGAUAGAAAAUAGAGUAAGAGUUAUGAGUCAGCUGUUCUAGAGGUGAGGAAUAUAAACAUUGACCCACUUCCUCCUCCCCCACAAGUAAGAGAAGGAGGCAAGGUGGGAUAAGACAUCAGUUUCAGUGUGACACAGGCCAUCAGUCCAUGCUUUUUAAAAAUUUAAUCAGCUUUACUUUUUAGAGCAGCCUGAGGUUCACAGCAAAGUUGAACAGAAAGUACAGAGCGUUUCCAUAUUCCUUCUCUCACUGCCCCCCACCCUCCCCCAUUAUCUACAUCUGACAUCAGAGUGGUGUGUUGUUGACAAUCUUCCUUCACUUGGUAAAUGCAUUUAAGUUUCCUCCAUGCCUCUUCAUGGCCCGAUAGCUCAUUUCUUUUUUAGCACCAAAUAACCUUCCAUUAUUUAUCUGGCUAUUGCACAGUUUAUCCAUUUUCUUACUGAAGGACAUCUUGCUGGCUUCCAAAUUUUAGCAAUUGUGAAUAAAGCUACUGUGAACAUCCAUGUGUGAGUCUGUGGAGACAUAAAUUUUCAAUCUAUCUGGGUAAAUAUCAAGACACAUGAUUGCUGGGUCAGAUGGAUAAGAAAGAGUAUAUUUAAUUGUAUAAGAAACUGCCAAACUAUUUCUCAAGGUGAUAUAUAUAUCAUUGUUCAUCCCCAUCAGCAAUGAAUGAGAGUUUCUAUUUGUUCCAUAUUCUCACCAGCAUUUAUUUUUGUCAUUAUCAGUUUUCUGGAUUUGGGCCAUUCUAAUAGGUAUACAAUGCAUCUCGUUUUUAAUUUCAAGUACUAUUUAUUUGUAAUAGAGACCCCAUUAUAUCCUACAAGGUUUGAAAGUAGCUGACCUUCAAACCAACUCAAAAAAAAUUUUAUUAUAGUAGAUUUAUAAUGUUGUACCAAUUUCUGCUUUACAGCAAAAUGACUCAAUCAUAUAUAUCUAUAUGCAUUCUUUUUAUAUUAUUUUCUAUCAUGGUUCAUUGUUUUUAAUUUGCAUUUCCCUGAUGACAAAUGAUGUGGAACAUCUUUUCAUAUGCUUCUUUGCCAUUUAUAUAUCUUAUUUUUUCAUUUUUGAAGUUUUAUUGAAGUGUAGUUGAUGUACAGUGCUGUGAUAAUUUCUGCUGUUCAACAAAGUGAUUCGGUUAUACAUAUAUGCACAUCCAUUCUUUUUCAGAUUCUUUUCCCACAUGGUUUAUCACAGAAUGUUGAGUAGAAUUCCCUGUGCUAUACAGCACAUCCCUGUCGGCCAGUCAUUCCACAUACCAUAGUGUGCACAUGCCAGUCCUCAACCCCAGUCUGUCCCCUUUGGUAACCACAAAUUUGUUUUCAAAGUCUGUGAGUCUGUUUCUAUUCUGCAAUAAGUUCAUUUUUAUCAUUUUUUUAGAUUCCACGUAUAGUGAUACAUGAUGUUUGCCUUUCUUUCUCUGACUUACUUCACUUAGUAUGAUAAUCUCUAGGUCCAUCCAUGUUGCUACAAAUGGCAUUACUUCAUUCUUUUUAUGGCUGAGUAAUAUUCCAUUGCAUAUAUCUUCUUUGAUGAAAUAUAUUUUCAGGUCUUUGGCCCACUUUUUAAAUUGGGUUGUUUGUUUUCUUAUUGUUGAAUUUUAAGAGUUCUUUGUGUGUUUUGAAUUACAGUCCUUUAUAGGAUGUGUCUUUUGCAAAUAUUUUCUCCUGAUCUAUGACUUAUCUUGAGGUUGUCUUUUCAAUUCAUGCUUAUGGGCCAACUCAAGCAAUCCAGACAGUCACCUUGGCUAUUACUAUUUCUCUUACUUAACAUAUUUGUGAAAAUUAGAGUAAACAGAAAUAUCCUCAUGAUGAGUUUCAGUACAGCCCUAACAGGUAUGAAACAGGUCUAAGUUAUAGCACCUAUUUUCAAAAUCUUUGUCAACAUAGUACAAGUAUGAAAUGAAUUGACUUUAUUUCCUCCUGCUGCAGCAAAGAGAAAUAUAGCAUCCUCCUUUAUGCUGAUAACCUUGUCACAUUUUCUAAGAGUGACCUUAAGAAGUAGCAUGGGUCUGUUGGCAUCUUACUUCCCUAAGAAGCAACUCAGCAUAAAAUUUUGCAAAACAAAAAGUCAUUGUAAUUGGUAGACAUUCGAUUUUAAGUAUCCUAAGGCAAGAAGUCAAUUUAUUAUGCCUUUCGUAGGGAUUCAGUCACUCUCGGCCCACAAGUAGAUUUAUUCUCUUAUUCAGGCAUGCAUUUUGCUCCUAAUUCAUCUUGAUGGUUCCUGAGAAUCUAGUUCUUAAAAUGAGAUGUUUGCUAGUUUAUGUACCGAUGUUCUUUUACAGAUGAAGCCAUCAGCUAGUCUCAAAUACACACACACACACACACACACACACACAGACACACACACUAUUAUGAGCUAAAACAUAAGCAAGACUAAGCCUUUUUAUUUUAUGUUAGCUGGGGCUGAACUGUGGUGUUUCAAACAAAUAUGUGUGUUUGAAAAGGUCAGACCUCUGCUCUGGAAAAAAAAAAAGUCUUUUGACCUCUCUGCUACUCUCUGUGCACUAUUAUAAUUAAAUUUUAAUGCAUAGCAUAUUUCCAUUUUUACCUCAACUGCCAGGAAACAGAAUACCAUUCACUGUCUGUGAUAGAAACUGAUUAUUUUACUUGACAAGCCUCAAUUGCCUCUGUGUCCUUUGGAUAAUUUUUAAAUUGCUAUUUAUUAUCAGCAGUGUGCUUAAUUUUUAAUCAAUUUAAAUGAUUUUUCAAGACAUUCCAAUGCAUUCAGUAACUUCUUUCAACAGAAAUGGGUUGAGUACUGUGUAAAUUAUUGAGUUGUCUCUCAGAUUCAAACCUACCCUCUUCUUUCAGCUUUGUGAUGCUGGCUGGAGCUGGGACUGUGCAAAUCACAUUUGGUCUUGGUCAGCUGGCUCAGUGUCAGACUCCACCAACAGGGGGUGACAGAGGGAGACUGCAAGUCUUGAAGAAGAAGAAGGGCUCUUCUCCUUCCUCCAUACUUCCUAGGGGCUUCCUUUCUGCUCUGUGUUCUCAGGACUAUCACCCAAGCAAUGCUUCUUCACCCCGUAGCAGUUCUUCCUUCCCAGAACGACAGCUGGAUCCAAGGCACAGUUAGUUCUUUCAGUAUGAACAGAGCCCAUUUCAUCACCUUUCCAUCUUGCCAGCCCCAGCCCCUGCAGCAGUCUUUCUUCAAAGAUCUGGGUCCUAAGCCUGUCAGGUCAUUCCUCGGAGCUAGAGAUACCAGCCACGGAGAACCCCCUCCUCAGAGCGCUGAGUUUUAACCCUGUAAGUUCUCUCUUGUAGGUUUCUAAAUGUUUUAACAUUUCCAGCAUUUUCCUUGUUCCCUGUGCCUGAGAGGUGGUGUUUGCCUCCUGUUGUGGUUACUUCUGGAGCACUUGAGAGUUCUUUUUUUAUCUUUUGAGGUUCCCACUUAACUAGUAGUUAAUACUUCUUUAUUAAAUUCCCUCUCAUCAAAUAACUGAUGUGACUUCUGAUUCCCUAUUGACUCCUCUAAUGCAGGGGCUAACACGGAUCAAGCAUAGUUCUAAGUGCCAGGGAACACCUGUGACCCAAAUAAAUAGAUUGCCUUCAUAGAGCUGAUCUUAUACGGGUAGACAUGAAACACACAUAAGCAGGUAUUACAAUAGGUACUUUUUCAUACUAUGAAAACAAAUAAAGCCAAGUGAGGGGGAAGAGACUGACUAGGGUGGCAGGAAGGGGCUGCUGUUGUGGGAGGAUGAUAGAGAAGAAGCCUUUCUAGACAGGUGACAUUUGAGCAGAUUUAAAAGAAAUUUAGGAGAAAAUUUUAUAGCUAUGUGGAGCAAGAGUGUUUCAGGCAGAAAGACUAGGAAGUGCAAAGGUCCUGAGGGUAAUGCAUGGUUGAUAUAGUCAAGAAAUGGAGAGACCAGUGGGUUGCUAGCAAAGGGAGAAAGUGGGAAAAUGGUAGGAGAGGCAAGGAGAGAGGAGGCAGGAGGCUGGAUGACCAGGUCCCGCAGGCCCUGGGAGUCAGAGCAAGGCUUCUAACUCUUCAUGCUCAUGAAAUGGCAAGCCUCUGGAGUAUUUCAAAUAUAGGAAGCACAAGCCAGUCCUCAGUAAUCAAAACCCAUGCCAUGCCAGCCAUUUUCCCAAAAAGCACAUCAUAUAGCAAUGAACAAUGCUGGCUUAUUCUUGCCCUUAUGGUGGCUGAGGCUGACAGGAAGCGCCUAAGUCAACAUAGAAUAUGUCUGAUGAUAAAUGCUCUGAAGGAAAGUAGAACUGGGUCAAGGUAGAGGGAUUACCUGCAGGAGAAGAGCCUGAUGGGAGCAAGGCAAAGUGGGAAAGCCAGGUAGGAGGCAGUUGCAAUACUCUGGGCAGGAGCUGAUAUGGCUUGGACCAUGAUGGGGAUGAAGAUGUUUCAAAAGCGUGGUCCAAUCCUGGAUAUAUUUCCCAUGUAAGGGUGAUAGAAGUUUCUGAUGAUCUGCACAGCUUCUCAUUGCUCUUGGAAUAAAGUACAGAUCCUGAUCAUGGCUUACAAGAUUUAGCAUGGUCUCAUCUCUGCUUCCAUUUCUAACCUCCUCUUUCCACUGGCUUUCUCAUUCUGCACUGCUUUUUCACUUUACAGAACAUGUCCCAGUUCCUCCAGUGAGCCAUGCUCCCACUGGCCACUGGUCGUUUGUAUAUGCCAGUCCUCCUCAAGACUUCAGUUACCUGAAUAGCUCCUUGGCCUCCUCCUUCAAGCCAUGGCUUAUGUUUCCCCUAUUCAGAGCAGCCUUCCUGUUUUCUGGAGAUGAGGUUAGCUGUCUCUCCUAUGAGAAAACCCUAAGACUGACUUGACCUUUACAGCUAAUCAGACUUCUAGAAAGCUGUGCACAUUCUUAUUGUAAUCAAAACUCUAUUUGUGUAUCCAUAUCAUUAACUCUGUCUUGCCUUUCGAGCUCUUGGUUGAGGGAAGAGUUGAGGAAAAGUCUCUUUCGACCACAAAUGCAAAGGUAUAAUAGGACCCAAAGCAAUAGAUAUACUUGGCAGGCAUCAUACUAUCCAGUAGAUAGUUGGCAUAGACACUCCUCAAUGUGUUUGUAUUUAGAAACUUUAGGAAAUACUCUUAUGGUGCAGCAGGUUAAGGAUCUGGUAUUGUCACUGCAGCUUGGGUUGCUGCUGUGGUGUGAGUUUGAUCCCUGCCUUGGGAACUUCCAUAUGCCAUGGGUGUGACCAAAAAGUUCCCCAAAAUAAAAAAAAAA
rnacentral:lncRNA from 1 species